CUCACGAGCCCGUCCAAUAAGGAGAGAUAUGACGUAGGCGACACGAGCAGUGCUCCUGGAGUAAGUGUUGGGCUGGAGAGAAAACACAAUAUCACACUGGGUGAGGAACGAGCGGCAUUCAGUGGGCUCCCCAGAGUAACACGGCGGGUUAUUGAUUCUGGGCUCCGGAGAUUCGAAAGCCCUGGAAGUGGCCGGUGGAUCGAGGCGGAGAUGGUGAACCUGUUCUGUGAGGUUGGAGACUUGGGUGGCCAGGGUCUCAACGGCAUGUCGAGCAGCAGACAAUUCCUGCUCGUGUCUGCCUAGCAUCGCUCCCUGGAUCUCGACGGCUGAGUGGAGAGGAUCCGAAGUCGCUGGGUCCAUUCUUGGUCGGAUUCUUCUGUUACGGUGAGUGAAUGAGGACCCAAAAGCGAACUAACUUAAACAGAGCUUCUUUAAUAACCAAACUGUGGUAGGCUCAGAUAGACCGGGAGAUUCCGACAGGACAGGACAAGGUUACAGCAAACAUGACGAUAGUCUGGCUCAGGCAUGAAACACAACAAACAAGAAUCCGACAAGGACAGGAACAAAAACAGAGAGAGAUAUAGGGGACUAAUCAGAGGGAAAAGGGGAACAGGUGGGAGAAGGGGUGACGAGGUAGUCAAGAGGAGACAAGGAACAGCUGGGGGAAAGCGGGGGAGAAAAGGGAACAGGUGGGAAAAGGGGUGACGAGGUAGUUAGGAGGAGACAAGGAACAGCUGGGGGAAAGAGGGGGAGAAAAGGUAACCUAAUAACGACCAGCAGAGGGAGACAGGGUGAAGGGAAAGGACAGAAACAAGACACAACAUGACAAUACAUGACAAUAACACAUAUGGAAUCAGGCAUUAACCCAAAAAAGUGUUAAACAAAUCAAAAUAUACUUUAUAUUUGAGAUUCUUCAAAUAGCCACCCUUCGCCUUGAUGACAGCUUUGCACACUCUUGGCAAUGUAUGUACUGUAACAGUAUUGCUUCCGUCCCUCUCCUUGCCCCAACUUGGGCUGGAACCAGGGACCCUCUGAACAUAUUGAAAAUUGUCACCCACGAAGCAUAAUUACUUAUCGCUCUGCCAAACUACUACUUCUACGUUUCAGAGCGGGUGAAGCGGGUGAAGUCACUGAUUGAACACGUGUCUUCGCUCGUGACGGUUUGUGAGUUUAUUUGUGUGUAAAAUGUAGAUUCAAGCAUUGUUGUGUGUGUGUGUGCGUGUGCC
rnacentral:lncRNA from 13 species